UACGUAGGGUGCGAGCGUUGUCCGGAUUUAUUGGGCGUAAAGGGCUCGUAGGCGGCGUGUCGCGUCGGGAGUGAAAGCCCGUUGCUUAACGGCGGGUUGGCUUUCGGUACGGGCAUGCUGGAGUGCGGCAGGGGAGACUGGAAUUCCUGGUGUAGCGGUGGAAUGCGCAGAUAUCAGGAGGAACACCGAUGGCGAAGGCAGGUCUCUGGGCAUUAACUGACGCUGGAGGAGCGAAAAGCAUGGGGAGCGAACAGG
rnacentral:rRNA from 1 species